GGUUAAGCGACUAAGCGUACACGGUGGAUGCCCUGGCAGUCAGAGGCGAUGAAGGACGUGCUAAUCUGCGAUAAGCGUCGGUGAGGUGAUAUGAACCGUUAUAACCGGCGAUUUCCGAAUGGGGAAACCCAGUGUGUUUCGACACACUAUCAUUAACUGAAUCCAUAGGUUAAUGAGGCGAACCGGGGGAACUGAAACAUCUAAGUACCCCGAGGAAAAGAAAUCAACCGAGAUUCCCCCAGUAGCGGCGAGCGAACGGGGAGGAGCCCAGAGCCUGAAUCAGUGUGUGUGUUAGUGGAAGCGUCUGGAAAGGCGUGCGAUACAGGGUGACAGCCCCGUACACAAAAAUGCACAUAUUGUGAGCUCGAUGAGUAGGGCGGGACACGUGGUAUCCUGUCUGAAUAUGGGGGGACCAUCCUCCAAGGCUAAAUACUCCUGACUGACCGAUAGUGAACCAGUACCGUGAGGGAAAGGCGAAAAGAACCCCGGCGAGGGGAGUGAAAAAGAACCUGAAACCGUGUACGUACAAGCAGUGGGAGCCUCUUAAUGGGGUGACUGCGUACCUUUUGUAUAAUGGGUCAGCGACUUAUAUUCUGUAGCAAGGUUAACCGAAUAGGGGAGCCGAAGGGAAACCGAGUCUUAACUGGGCGUUAAGUUGCAGGGUAUAGACCCGAAACCCGGUGAUCUAGCCAUGGGCAGGUUGAAGGUUGGGUAACACUAACUGGAGGACCGAACCGACUAAUGUUGAAAAAUUAGCGGAUGACUUGUGGCUGGGGGUGAAAGGCCAAUCAAACCGGGAGAUAGCUGGUUCUCCCCGAAAGCUAUUUAGGUAGCGCCUCGUGAAUUCAUCUCCGGGGGUAGAGCACUGUUUCGGCAAGGGGGUCAUCCCGACUUACCAACCCGAUGCAAACUGCGAAUACCGGAGAAUGUUAUCACGGGAGACACACGGCGGGUGCUAACGUCCGUCGUGAAGAGGGAAACAACCCAGACCGCCAGCUAAGGUCCCAAAGUCAUGGUUAAGUGGGAAACGAUGUGGGAAGGCCCAGACAGCCAGGAUGUUGGCUUAGAAGCAGCCAUCAUUUAAAGAAAGCGUAAUAGCUCACUGGUCGAGUCGGCCUGCGCGGAAGAUGUAACGGGGCUAAACCAUGCACCGAAGCUGCGGCAGCGACGCUUAUGCGUUGUUGGGUAGGGGAGCGUUCUGUAAGCCUGUGAAGGUGUGCUGUGAGGCAUGCUGGAGGUAUCAGAAGUGCGAAUGCUGACAUAAGUAACGAUAAAGCGGGUGAAAAGCCCGCUCGCCGGAAGACCAAGGGUUCCUGUCCAACGUUAAUCGGGGCAGGGUGAGUCGACCCCUAAGGCGAGGCCGAAAGGCGUAGUCGAUGGGAAACAGGUUAAUAUUCCUGUACUUGGUGUUACUGCGAAGGGGGGACGGAGAAGGCUAUGUUGGCCGGGCGACGGUUGUCCCGGUUUAAGCGUGUAGGCUGAUUUUCCAGGCAAAUCCGGAAAAUCAAGGCUGAGGCGUGAUGACGAGGCACUACGGUGCUGAAGCGACAAAUGCCCUGCUUCCAGGAAAAGCCUCUAAGCAUCAGGUAACAUCAAAUCGUACCCCAAACCGACACAGGUGGUCAGGUAGAGAAUACCAAGGCGCUUGAGAGAACUCGGGUGAAGGAACUAGGCAAAAUGGUGCCGUAACUUCGGGAGAAGGCACGCUGAUAUGUAGGUGAAGCGACUUGCUCGUGGAGCUGAAAUCAGUCGAAGAUACCAGCUGGCUGCAACUGUUUAUUAAAAACACAGCACUGUGCAAACACGAAAGUGGACGUAUACGGUGUGACGCCUGCCCGGUGCCGGAAGGUUAAUUGAUGGGGUUAGCGGCAACGCGAAGCUCUUGAUCGAAGCCCCGGUAAACGGCGGCCGUAACUAUAACGGUCCUAAGGUAGCGAAAUUCCUUGUCGGGUAAGUUCCGACCUGCACGAAUGGCGUAAUGAUGGCCAGGCUGUCUCCACCCGAGACUCAGUGAAAUUGAACUCGCUGUGAAGAUGCAGUGUACCCGCGGCAAGACGGAAAGACCCCGUGAACCUUUACUAUAGCUUGACACUGAACAUUGAGCCUUGAUGUGUAGGAUAGGUGGGAGGCUUUGAAGUGUGGACGCCAGUCUGCAUGGAGCCGACCUUGAAAUACCACCCUUUAAUGUUUGAUGUUCUAACGUGGGCCCCUAAUCGGGGUUGCGGACAGUGUCUGGUGGGUAGUUUGACUGGGGCGGUCUCCUCCUAAAGAGUAACGGAGGAGCACGAAGGUUGGCUAAUCCUGGUCGGACAUCAGGAGGUUAGUGCAAUGGCAUAAGCCAGCUUGACUGCGAGCGUGACGGCGCGAGCAGGUGCGAAAGCAGGUCAUAGUGAUCCGGUGGUUCUGAAUGGAAGGGCCAUCGCUCAACGGAUAAAAGGUACUCCGGGGAUAACAGGCUGAUACCGCCCAAGAGUUCAUAUCGACGGCGGUGUUUGGCACCUCGAUGUCGGCUCAUCACAUCCUGGGGCUGAAGUAGGUCCCAAGGGUAUGGCUGUUCGCCAUUUAAAGUGGUACGCGAGCUGGGUUUAGAACGUCGUGAGACAGUUCGGUCCCUAUCUGCCGUGGGCGCUGGAGAACUGAGGGGGGCUGCUCCUAGUACGAGAGGACCGGAGUGGACGCAUCACUGGUGUUCGGGUUGUCAUGCCAAUGGCACUGCCCGGUAGCUAAAUGCGGAAGAGAUAAGUGCUGAAAGCAUCUAAGCACGAAACUUGCCCCGAGAUGAGUUCUCCCUGACUCCUUGAGAGUCCUGAAGGAACGUUGAAGACGACGACGUUGAUAGGCCGGGUGUGUAAGCGCAGCGAUGCGUUGAGCUAACCGGUACUAAUGAACCGUGAGGCUUAACCUU
rnacentral:rRNA from 1 species